ACAAUAUUUCUGCAAGUUAUUUUUGUUUUUUUUUUUCUUUUUAAGUGUGAGAACAAGGGACAAAGAUCUAUAUAGAUCACGAAAGAGUGAAAGAGAGAGAGAGAUAGAGAGAGAGAGACAAAGAGAGAGAAAUAGAGAGAAAAAGAUAGUGCGAAAGAGGAAAUAUUUUCUCCAAAAUUCCCGCUCGUAAAUGCGCCUGCGCCAGAACGUAAUCGUGUUUAUCGUACGAAAAAGAAUAAUAACGAGAACAAGUGUUUUCCUGAUUGUUACAGCUUGUGCUAUUAGCAUUCAUCAUCAUCAUCAUCAUCAUCUUAUUCUUCUUCUUGUUCACCUAGCGAAUUACAAAAGAUUCGAUCUUCCCAAAAAAAAAAAAUGUUUUUCACGUGAAUCAGAGAGAAAUAGUGUGAAUAUCGAAAAAAAAGGCUAGGAGGAGGGAAGUGGAAGAGGAGGGAGAAGGCGAUUACCAUACUUUCGUCAUUUUCCGUUUCAUUUUCAUUGCAUUAAAAAAAAAAGAGAUUAUUUUUAUCGUUUUUUUUUGUUUUUAUUCUUUUUCUCGUUUUUUAAUAAGAUACGCGUCUCUCUCUCUCUCUCUCUCUCUGCGCUCAUCAGAAUUUCGAAAGAACAAUGCGAUUUUUUUAUUUUCCAUUUCUAUCUCUCUCUCUCUUUCUUUCUUCCCUUUUGUUUUGUUGUUAGAACUUUUUUUUUUGUUUAUUUCUGUUUUGCUUGUAUUAUAAACGGAAAAUACUCACACCAGUAAUAAUAGUAAAAGUAAUAGUAAUAGUAGUAAUAGUAGUAAUAGUAGUAGUAGUAGUAGUAGUCUGCUGUUGCUCCCUGAACGAGAAGAGAGAUUUGGUUUGCGUCAUUGAAGCGAACUCGCGGCCUAUCUGCAUCUCUCUCCCUCCCUCCAACUCCCUUUACCACCAUCCUUCAUUCCCUAUCUCUGUCUCUGUCUCUCUCUUUCUUCUCCGUCCGAAUGCAACGACGCAAGCCACGUCGCAUCGAUAAAAAGCAUUGAAAAAUAGCGCGUAAAUCUGAAGCCUCCUUCUCUUCCUUCUCCUCCAUCUCCUCUAUCUCCUCCUCCUCCUUCUCCUCCUCGCGACCUAUCGCAAAAGGAUUUCUCAACAUUUAGACAAUAUUAAGAGUGAUUUAUUUCUAUCUAAUCAAAGACUGGAUAAACAACAACUAUUUGGAUAAACUUUGGUGAUAAAUCUGUAUAGUUUUGGAAGAUCACUUUACGAUUGGUAACACAACAUAAUCGUUAAGAGAAAAAGAUAGAGAUACAUAUACAUACAUAGUUGAAGAAGUCUGCUGCUGGUUGUUUCGGUGAGGGAAGAAGAGAAAGAGAAAGAGGAAAGGAGUGGAGAGGGGGAAAGUCGAGGGCGCAAGCGUGCACGUGCUCUUUGCGCGUUCCUAUACCCUAAGCAGUCUGUCCCACUAUCAGAAGUGGCACCGAGGACGGAGAAAACGCGGAGGCUAGUCGUCGUCCCUCCGUUGCAAGCACCCCUCCCCGAGUUCGCGGCAGCACCCCUCCAACGUGCACGGAGGACCACCACCGCCGCCGCCACCCUCAACGUCGACGACUGUAUAACAACCACCACGACGACGACGACGACGAGGACGUCGUCGUCGACGGAAACGUUGAAGACAACGAC